GAGUGCGAUCAUACAAACGUUAAUGCACCAGAUCCCGUCAGAACUGCACAGUUAAGCGAGCUUGGGCUAGAGUAGUACUGGGAUGGGUGACCUCCCGGAAAGUGCUAGUGUUGUACCCU
rnacentral:rRNA from 1 species